CCAUGUGCGUGUACGUUAGCCUCUCAAAUGCCCUUCACCUCCAAUACCUUUUGAGCUCAUCAACCAAUCUCAAGCCAACCUUGCUGAAGGAUAUGAGCAUUGGAGAUACAGUGUUCUUACAAGUGUCAUGAAAAUAUGUGCUCGCAGAAAAGAUGUGCUGUUCAUUCUGCCGCUGACAAGAAAAGCUAACAAACUUGCCCUUUUCAGACUUCAGGGAACCCAGGAUACUGGAGACCAUAUUCCAUUAUUUCUGCAGCUUGUGAACGUGUUUGUUUCAUCUUGUUGAGGCAUAAUCUGACAUCUGCUGGACUGAGCCCACUGAAAGGGGAUGAUCAGCAGCCAUUGUCCAGUGAUCCAUGCUGGAUGCAAGAAGCAGAUCGAGUCUUAAUUCUCCUGCUGUUCCAGCUGCCCAGCACACUCUCCUAGCCUGCAGUUCAAGAGUUGCGUACCGCCAUUAUGCUGCAAACAAUUCCUCCUGAUACACGCUCAGUGCUUCAAGAGAAGCCUCAAGCUGGCUUUUCUCCCUUCUGUCAGAGUCCCCGUCGCCUACCACCAGCAGUGAGCAAGAAGAGAGCCAGCACAGCAGGAGAACUACAGUCUACAGGACACUGUGGUCUCAGCUGUCUUUCUGCCUGAGGUUCAACAUGACCACAGAGAUACACCAUGGGACAUUUGCCAACAACUCUGCCCC
rnacentral:lncRNA from 1 species